rnacentral:tRNA from 1 species
GGGGUUGUCGAUUAGCCUGGUUCAAGUCCCUUGACUGUCGAUCAAGUGAUCGUGGGUUCGAAUCCCAUCAACCCCGCCA